AUGAUGCUGUGGACUCAAAACAAUUAUUCCAUGACCAUCAGAUCUCAUACUCUCUGUCUACACUCAGUUUCUUCCAUAAAGUAAUUCUGAGGCUACAAUUGAACCAUGUGGUAAAGCAACAGUAGAAUAGGAAAAUGUGUAUUUUUGGUAAAUCCAGAAAGGUGUGCUGCCUGGGCUGCCCCUAAUGUUUGUUUGUAAAGUGGGAGUACAGCACCUGCCAUAACAAAGUCUCCCAAAGUCCUGUGCAGAAAAAGUUAACAUUAGCAGUCCUGAGGCUGCAUAUCCUUGAAAAAAAUGCCUACCGACAAAGUUUAACCUUUGACGUUAUCUAGAAAGUGAAUUUUGUUCUGAGUACUGCAGCAGAAACAAAAACCAAAAAACUGGGUUUUACAAGGGGUCCUAUCAGUCUAAAUGAUGAGUCAUAAAUAACUAAAACAAAAACUCAUGAGCUCUACACUCAUGAGCUCAUGCCACUGCACUCCAGCCUGGGCAACAGAGUGAGACUCGGUCUCAAAAAAAUAAAAUUAGCCAGGCGUGGUGGCGCAUGCCUAUAAUCCCAGCUACCCGGGAGGCUGAGGCAGGAGAAUUGUGGGAAUCCUAGAGGCAGAGGCUGCAGUAAGCCAAGAUCACACCACCACACUCCAGCCUGGGUGACAGAGCAAGUCUCCAUCUUAAAAAAAAAAAAAAAAAAAUUCCAGGCACCUAGUCUCAACAAAAAGGCAAAUAUUUAUCAAACUUUUAAAAACUUUUGUGGCCAGGCAUGGUGGCUCACACCUGUAACCCCACCACUUUGGAAGGCUGAGGCAGGAGGAUCACCUGAGCCUAGGAGUUGGUGACCGGCCUGGCCAACAUGGUGAAACACCGCCUCUACUAAAAAUACAAAAAUUAGCCAGGCGUGGUGGUGCGCACCUGUAAUUCCGCUACUUGGGAGGCUGGGGCAGGAGAAUCAGUUGAACCUAGGAGUUGGAGGUUGCAGUGAGCUGAGAUCGUGAUACUGCACUCCAGCUUGGGCAACAGCAAGACUCCAUCUCACAAAAACCACUUUUGUGCAUGAGAUGACACCAUCAACAGAGGGAAAAGGGACUCCUUGUGCUCUGUUUAAAGGAUAAUAAAUGGCUCAGCUUCUAUGGGAACAGUAAAAAAUUGAAAACUGAAACCUGAAGACAUAUUUGAAAGCCACUCUUCACAAAAUCAAAGAGCUGGAUCAAUCCACAUGUCCAUUGAUGGCUGCAUGCAUAAUGAAAAUAUGCUAGGCAUAUAUAUACAUGACAUAUUAAUCUUAAACAUCUUGUCUCAUGAACAAUCACAAAACUUCAGGAUGCUAUGGUAAUUGCAAAAAGCUAAUCACAAAAAGAAAAUUAUAGUAUAAUUCACCUUAGAUGAGUUAUGUAGUGUUGUGCAACUAUACACUUAAAACUGCUUAAGCUGGUAAAAUUGAAGUUUAUUAUUUUACAAUAAUUAAAAAUAAUAAAUCACAGUACCAAGUAAAAAAAAAACUAAUUGAUAUUGAUUAAAAGAUGGGCAUAGGCCAGGUAUGGUGGCUCACACCUGUAAUCUUAGCACUUUGGGAGUCCGAGGUGGGUGGAUGACUUGAGAUCAGGGGUUCAAGACCAGCCUGGCCAAAAUGGUGAAAUCCUAUCUCUACUAAAAACAUAAAAAUUAGCUGGGCAUGAUGGCACAUUCCUGUAAUCCCAGUUACUCAAGAGGCUGAGGCAGGAGAAUCGCUUGAACCUGGGCAGCAGAGGCUGCAGUGAGCCAAGAUUGUGCCACUGCACUCCAGCCAGGGCAAGACAGCAAGACUCUGUCUCAAAAAAAUAAAAAAAAAGAAAAGUAUUUGAAUGGCAUUUCUCCAAUACAUAGAAAUCACCAAUAAGUAUAUGAAGUGGUGCUCAACAUCAGGAGUCAACAGGCAUAAGUAUUUCAUACAGUGUAGUUUCAGGUGGUUAUUGAGCACUUUCUCUCAAGAAAAGUAUUCAUAAAAUAAUAAAAUUUUAAAUAUAGCCAUUUAUUAAAGUAAAAAAUAGUAAUUUAAGUACUGCAGCUGUUUCAAGUGUAUCAUGAGAAACACAUAAUUGAAGACGUCCUUUCGAGAGAGGAGUGAGUGUUUUGUAAUGUAGUGAGGAAAGCAGAAAUUUAGGGAUUGUCAUUCCUAAGAAGAGCUGGCCGAGCACGGUCGCUCAUGCCUGUAAUCCCAGCACUUUGGGAAGCAGAGGUGGCCGGAUCACCUGAGGUCAGGAGUUUGAGACCAGACUAACAUGGUGAAACCCUGUCUCUACUAAAAACACAAAAAUUAGCUGGGUGUAGUGAUGGGCACCUAUAAUACCAGCUACUGGGGAGGCUGAGGCAGGAGAAUCGCUUGAACCAGGGAGGCGGAGGUUGCUGUGAGCCGAGAUUGCGCCACUGCACUCCAGCCUGGGCGACAGAGCGAGACUCUGUCUCCAAAAAAAAACAACAACAAAAAAAACAGCAUUAAGCUACAGGGGUCUUAAGGACUCCUGCUUUACUUUUUUUAUUUUUCUUUUUGAGACGGAGUAGUCUCACUCUGCCACCCAGGCUGGAGAGCAGUAGUGCAAUCUUGGCUCACUGCAACCUCUGCCUCCUGGGUUCAAGCAAUUCUCCUGCCUCAGCUUCCCAAGUAGCGGGAUUACAGACGCCCACCACUAUACCCAGCUAAUUUUUUUGUAUUUUUAGUAGAGAUGGGGGUUUCACCAUGUUGGCCAAGCUGGUCUUGAACUCCUGACCUCGUGAUUCACCCACCUUGGCCUCCCAAAGUGUUAGGAUUACAGCUGUGAGCCACCGCACCCAGCCAGGACUCCUUCUUUGACCAAACUUGAGCUCACAGCCCUCUUCUUGUCUAGGCUUUGGCCUUCUUCUGCAGAGCCCAGUUACAGCAAAAAGCCUUUUAAGACAGUUCACAGAGAAUCCCCCCACCAAAACUUAGUAUUUCCAAUCAAGUUCAAUUUCCCUCACUCAUGAUAAUUCAUCAACUUUCUCUUCCCUAACUGCUGACACCUCACCAAGUUCCAUCCUUUCCCUCACCUUGCCCUGUAAUAUAGGAGGGAGAUUAAACUUAGGGAGACAGCCUAUUACGUGUCGUGAGAACUGUAAUAUAAUAUACAGAACUGUAGUCUCACUCCAUAUUAUAGUUCUCAUGACACAUACUACAAUUGUGCAGAAUAAAGCCUUCCUUGAUAUUUUAAACACAUUUUCAAUACAAUCUCUCUUUACAAGGGAUAGGGACUUAGGCUGGAGACUCUGCUUCAGAAGUCUAGAAUGCAUAGGGGAUAACAGGCUCUCUCCCUGUGGGGAGACAGCUGAGAAUACCUCUCACUCACAAAACCAAAACCCCAGGACAGAUUUCUCUCCUGAAGACCACUCCCUGCUGUUACCCCAUAAACUUAGUAAGAUAGGGGACUGUGGGUACGCUAUUUCCCAGACAGGGUACUAGGGUAGAGCUUACCUCCUGCAGUGAUGAUGCAGGAUGCCUGGCGGUACUGGCUGCCAAUUCAACCAUCACACUGUGAUAGAGACUCAGGUGUUGGGAACAGUCCCCCAAAUCUGGCCAUAAACUGGCCCCAAAACUGGCCAUAAACAAAAUCUCUGCAGCACUGUGACAUGUUUGUGAUGGCCAUGACGCCUACACUGAAGGUUGUUGGUUUACCAGAAUGAGGGCAGGGAACACCUGGCCCACCCAGGGAAGAAAACAGCUUAAAGGUGUUCCUAAACCACAAACAAUAGCAUAAGUGAUCUGCGCCUUAAGGACAUGUUCCUGCUGCAGAUAACUAGCCAGAGCCCAUCCCUUUGUUUUGGCCCAUCCCUUUGUUUACUGAAAGGAAUACUUUUAGAUAAUCUAUAAUCUACAGAAACAAUGCUUAUCACUGGCUUGCUGUCAAUAAAUAUGUGGGUAAAUUUCUGUUCGUGGCUCUCAGCUCUGAAGGCUGUCAGCCCCCUGAUUUGCCACUCCGCACUCUA